rnacentral:rRNA from 1 species
AGAGUUUGAUCCUGGCUCAGGAUGAACGCUAGCGGCAGGCCUAACACAUGCAAGUCGAGGGGCAGCGGGGAUAAGCUUGCUUAUCCGCCGGCGACCGGCGCACGGGUGCGCAACGCGUAUAGAAUCUGCCCUGUACUGGGGAAUAGCCCAGAGAAAUUUGGAUUAAUGCCCCAUGGUAUGUAUUAGCGGCAUCGCUUAUACAUUAAAGGCUACGGUACAGGAUGACUAUGCGUCCCAUUAGUUAGUUGGUAAGGUAACGGCUUACCAAGGCAGCGAUGGGUAGGGGCCCUGAGAGGGGGAUCCCCCACACUGGUACUGAGACACGGACCAGACUCCUACCGGGAGGCAGCAGUGAGGAAUAUUGGACAAUGGGCGGGAGCCUGACCCAGCCAUGCCGCGUGCAGGAAGACGGUCCUAUGGAUUGUAAACUGCUUUUGUACGGGAAGAACAAGGGGGCACGUGUGCCCCUCUGACGGGUACCGUAAGAAUAAGGA